AUUUAAUUCAAUAAAUAUACAGUCCAUGGUUUAAUCUCAUUUCAAAAAAGAGCUAUGAUUGAUUAUUUAUGCCUGAAAAGGUCGGAAGCGGGAGCACUCUCAACACUAUGCCCUCAACGCGACAGCUUCAUUCUCGGUGAAGCUACCGGAGAGAAAGCAUAUCGUCAUAUUGUCUCUUCAGUGACCAUUUAUAUCUCCCUUUCCCGGGUCUAAGCUACAGCUACAAAGACUACAAAGACACCAACCAUAUAGCUGGAAAGCUGGAGCUAAUGGCUAUUCAACUAAAACAAGAUGCUGGGUUCCAAGGUUGCAGAGCAAAUUGAAAAUAAAGUGUUGGGCAGUACCACUGCACAAACCCAGCAGCAGACAUGAAUCCGUAGGCGGUCAUUUGAUAGACGGCACCGGCAUG